GUAACACGUGGGAAACCUGCCCAGAAGCGGGGGAUAACACCUGGAAACAGAUGCUAAUACCGCAUAACAACUUGGACCGCAUGGUCCGAGCUUGAAAGAUGGCUUUGGCUAUCACUUUUGGAUGGUCCCGCGGCGUAUUAUCUAGAUGGUGGGGUAACGGCUCACCAUGGCAAUGAUACGUAGCCUACCUGAGAGGGUAAUCGGCCACAUUGGGACUGAGACACGGCCCAAACUACUACGGGAGGCAGCAGUAGGGAAUCUUCCACAAUGGACGAAAGUCUGAUGGAGCAACGCCGCGUGAGUGAAGAAGGGUUUCGGCUCGUAAAACUCUGUUGUUAAAGAAGAACAUAUCUGAGAGUAACUGUUCAGGUAUUGACGGUAUUUAACCAGAAAGCCACGGCUAACUACGUGCCAGCAGCCGCGGUAAUACGUAGGUGGCAAGCGUUGUCCGGAUUUAUUGGGCGUAAAGCGAGCGCAGGCGGUUUUUUAAGUCUGAUGUGAAAGCCUUCGGCUCAACCGAAGAAGUGCAUCGGAAACUGGGAAACUUGAGUGCAGAAGAGGACAGUGGAACUCCAUGUGUAGCGGUGAAAUGCGUAGAUAUAUGGAAGAACACCAGUGGCGAAGGCGGCUGUCUGGUCUGUAACUGACGCUGAGGCUCGAAAGUAUGGGUAGCAAACAGGAUUAGAUACCCUGGUAGUCCAUACCGUAAACGAUGAAUGCUAAGUGUUGGAGGGUUUCCGCCCUUCAGUGCUGCAGCUAACGCAUUAAGCAUUCCGCCUGGGGAGUACGGCCGCAAGGCUGAAACUCAAAGG
rnacentral:rRNA from 2 species